rnacentral:ncRNA from 1 species
GAAAAAUCUAGAGGUUGCGAUAGUCAAGACUUUUUACUGAGUUUGAGGAAACGAUGACGUAAAAAUGAGGGGAUAUCGCCGAAACAAUAUUAGCAUCCUUAUCUAAUGUUGUUGGGGUUAUAGUGAAUAACUAUAACACUGUCUCAGUUGAACACUGAGUUGCGCUAGAGUUUUA